rnacentral:rRNA from 1 species
AGCGAACGCUGGCGGCAGGCCUAACACAUGCAAGUCGAACGAACCUUUCGGGGUUAGUGGCGGACGGGUGAGUAACACGUGGGAACGUGCCUUUAGGUUCGGAAUAACUCAGGGAAACUUGUGCUAAUACCGAAUGUGCCCUUCGGGGGAAAGAUUUAUCGCCUUUAGAGCGGCCCGCGUCUGAUUAGCUAGUUGGUUGAGGUAAUGGCUCACCAAGGCGACGAUCAGUAGCUGGUCUGAGAGGAUGAUCAGCCACUUUGGGACUGAGACACGGCCCAAACUCAGACGGGGGGCAGCAGUGGGGGAGCUUGCGCAAUGGGCGAAAGACUGACGAAGCCAUGCCGGGUGAAAGAGGAAGGUCUUAGGAUUGUAAAAUUCUUUCACCGGGGACGAUAAUGACGGUAGCCGGAGAAGAAGCCCCGGCUAACUUCGUG